rnacentral:lncRNA from 1 species
ACUGGAUUGACUUCUCCCUUCUCAUUUUUCUUGAGCCAAUCAGAGGUGAUGGUGGCAUGAGUUCACAUGGAAUGACAAGGCAGACAAAUAUCAGCGUCAUCUUGAUUCUUUCUUCCAGUCAUUCAGCUGGAUGGCGGAUCCACUUUUCCUAAAGUUGGUUUUAAGGAAUGAUGAAACAACCAGAUAAUUGCAUCACAGUGGAUGAAUUGUCACUAAAAUAAAGAAGACAUGGAUGCCA